UACGUAGGGUGCAAGCGUUAAUCGGAAUUACUGGGCGUAAAGCGUGCGCAGGCGGUUAUGUAAGACAGAUGUGAAAUCCCAGGGCUCAACCUUGGAACUGCAUUUGUGACUGCAUAGCUAGAGUACGGUAGAGGGGGAUGGAAUUCCGCGUGUAGCAGUGAAAUGCGUAGAUAUGCGGAGGAACACCGAUGGCGAAGGCAGUCCCCUGGACCUGUACUGACGCUCAUGCAUGAAAGCGUGGGGAGCAAACAGG
rnacentral:rRNA from 1 species